rnacentral:rRNA from 1 species
GCGGCCUAUCAGCUUGUUGGUGAGGUAAAGGCUCACCAAGGCUACGACGGGUAUCCGGCCUGAGAGGGCGACCGGACACACUGGGACUGAGACACGGCCCAGACUCCUACGGGAGGCAGCAGUGGGGAAUAUUGGGCAAUGGACGAAAGUCUGACCCAGCGACGCCGCGUGAGGGAUGAAGGCCUUCGGGUUGUAAACCUCUUUCAGUAGGGAAGAAGCGAAAGUGACUGUACCUAAAGAAGAAGCACCGGCUAACUAUGUGCCAGCAGCCGCGGUAAUACAUAGGGUGCAAGCGUUGUCCGGAAUUAUUGGGCGUAAAGAGCUCGUAGGUGGUUUGUUGCGUCGGGUGUGAAAUUCAGGGGCUCAACCCCUGACCUGCACUCGAUACGGGCAAGCUAGAGUUUGGUAGGGGAGACUGGAAUUCCU